ACGAACGCUGGCGGCGUGCCUCAUACAUGCAAGUCGAACGCUUCUUUCCUCCCGAGUGCUUGCACUCAAUUGGAAAGAGGAGUGGCGGACGGGUGAGUAACACGUGGGUAACCUACCCAUCAGAGGGGGAUAACACUUGGAAACAGGUGCUAAUACCGCAUAACAGUUUAUGCCGCAUGGCAUAAGAGUGAAAGGCGCUUUCGGGUGUCGCUGAUGGAUGGACCCGCGGUGCAUUAGCUAGUUGGUGAGGUAACGGCUCACCAAGGCCACGAUGCAUAGCCGACCUGAGAGGGUGAUCGGCCACACUGGGACUGAGACACGGCCCAGACUCCUACGGGAGGCAGCAGUAGGGAAUCUUCGGCAAUGGACGAAAGUCUGACCGAGCAACGCCGCGUGAGUGAAGAAGGUUUUCGGAUCGUAAAACUCUGUUGUUAGAGAAGAACAAGGACGUUAGUAACUGAACGUCCCCUGACGGUAUCUAACCAGAAAGCCACGGCUAACUACGUG
rnacentral:rRNA from 1 species